rnacentral:rRNA from 1 species
UGCGUAACGCGUAUGCAACCUACCUCUUACAGUGGGAUUAGCCCCAGAGAAAUUUGGAUUAAUACCGCAUAGUAUACAGAUUCAGCAUUGGGACUGUAUUAAACAUUUAUGGGUAAGAGAUGGGCAUGCGUUCUAUUAGUUAGUUGGAGUGGUAACGGNACCCCCAAGACAGCGAUAGAUAGGGGCCCUGAGAGGGGGAUCCCCCCACACUGGUACUGAGACACGGACCAGACUCCUACGGGAGGCAGCAGUGAGGAAUAUUGGACAAUGGGCGAGAGCCUGAUCCAGCCAUGCCGCGUGCAGGAAGACGGCCCUAUGGGUUGUAAACUGCUUUUGUACGGGAAGAAACACCCCCUCGUGAGGGGGCUUGACGGUACCGUAAGAAUAAGGAUCGGCUAACUCCGUG